AUGACAACAAAGAAAGAGGAAAACAGAUUCAUCAGAAACCGUCCAGGUGAACUUCAGCUCUCAGACUCCGCCUCCUCCCUUCUCUACACAUGCAUGAAGGUCACACGCUCCCUCUCAGGAAUGUGUGACAGAGCACACAUGCAUUGUCAGAGCCUCCCGUUUCAGCUAGAAGAGGAAUUCGUUUCCCGUGGGGACUAACUGAUGCAGCCAUGCCGGGAGGAGAAGAGGAGCCCCGAAGAUCAGGGCAAGAAAACAUAGGGUUUAAAAAAAGGGGGCGGGGCACUCGAUUGUCACUGACCUCAUCUAUGGCUUUCUUAUAGCUCUGAUGAGAGGAAGGGAGGAAUAGAGAGAAAGAGAGAACAAGUGAACAGUAGAAAAGAAAGAAAAAGGAGGUGACGUAUAAAAGAAGCCCAAGAGGAGCUCGCCGUGGCGGGAAGAAAGCGUCUAUCAGUCAGCUGUCUACGAAUGUACUCCUGAGCAGCAUGUCGGCACAAGGAGAGAGGGACGGUGGGAAAGAAGCAUUUGGACAGAGGGAAGCAUCGUGCACAGAGAGAGAAAGACAGAAACAUCUCAGACGGGGCUGUGAAUGGAAAAACUCCUAAAAAUACAAAGAAAGAAAGUGGAUUUUGCUUGAGGUUAACUU